UUGAACGCUGGCGGCAUGCCUUACACAUGCAAGUCGAACGGCAGCACGGGUGCUUGCACCUGGUGGCGAGUGGCGAACGGGUGAGUAAUACAUCGGAACAUGUCCUGUAGUGGGGGAUAGCCCGGCGAAAGCCGGAUUAAUACCGCAUACGAUCUACGGAUGAAAGCGGGGGACCUUCGGGCCUCGCGCUAUAGGGUUGGCCGAUGGCUGAUUAGCUAGUUGGUGGGGUAAAGGCCUACCAAGGCGACGAUCAGUAGCUGGUCUGAGAGGACGACCAGCCACACUGGGACUGAGACACGGCCCAGACUCCUACGGGAGGCAGCAGUGGGGAAUUUUGGACAAUGGGCGAAAGCCUGAUCCAGCAAUGCCGCGUGUGUGAAGAAGGCCUUCGGGUUGUAAAGCACUUUUGUCCGGAAAGAAAUCCUUGGCUCUAAUACAGUCGGGGGAUGACGGUACCGGAAGAAUAAGCACCGGCUAACUACGUGCCAGCAGCCGCGGUAAUACGUAGGGUGCGAGCGUUAAUCGGAAUUACUGGGCGUAAAGCGUGCGCAGGCGGUUUGCUAAGACCGAUGUGAAAUCCCCGGGCUCAACCUGGGAACUGCAUUGGUGACUGGCAGGCUAGAGUAUGGCAGAGGGGGGUAGAAUUCCACGUGUAGCAGUGAAAUGCGUAGAGAUGUGGAGGAAUACCGAUGGCGAAGGCAGCCCCCUGGGCCAAUACUGACGCUCAUGCACGAAAGCGUGGGGAGCAAACAGGAUUAGAUACCCUGGUAGUCCACGCCCUAAACGAUGUCAACUAGUUGUUGGGGAUUCAUUUCCUUAGUAACGUAGCUAACGCGUGAAGUUGACCGCCUGGGGAGUACGGUCGCAAGAUUAAAACUCAAAGGAAUUGACGGGGACCCGCACAAGCGGUGGAUGAUGUGGAUUAAUUCGAUGCAACGCGAAAAACCUUACCUACCCUUGACAUGGUCGGAAUCCCGCUGAGAGGUGGGAGUGCUCGAAAGAGAACCGGCGCACAGGUGCUGCAUGGCUGUCGUCAGCUCGUGUCGUGAGAUGUUGGGUUAAGUCCCGCAACGAGCGCAACCCUUGUCCUUAGUUGCUACGCAAGAGCACUCUAAGGAGACUGCCGGUGACAAACCGGAGGAAGGUGGGGAUGACGUCAAGUCCUCAUGACCCUUAUGGGUAGGGCUUCACACGUCAUACAAUGGUCGGAACAGAGGGUUGCCAACCCGCGAGGGGGAGCUAAUCCCAGAAAACCGAUCGUAGUCCGGAUUGCACUCUGCAACUCGAGUGCAUGAAGCUGGAAUCGCUAGUAAUCGCGGAUCAGCAUGCCGCGGUGAAUACGUUGCCGGGUCUUGUACACACCGCCC
rnacentral:rRNA from 1 species